rnacentral:piRNA from 1 species
UUUUUCUAUAGGAUAUUCAAG